rnacentral:rRNA from 1 species
AUACGGAGGGUGCAAGCGUUACUCGGAAUCACUGGGCGUAAAGCGCGCGCAGGCGGCUAUUUAAGUUGGAUGUGAAAGCCUACGGCUCAACCGUAGAACUGCAUCCAAAACUAUUAGACUAGAGUGUGGGAGAGGAAGAUGGAAUUAGUUGUGUAGGGGUAAAAUCCGUAGAGAUAACUAGGAAUACCAAAAGCGAAGGCAAUCUUCUGGAACACUACUGACGCUGAGGCGCGAAAGCGUGGGGAGCAAACAGGAUUAGAAACCCUUGUAGUCC